GCUACUGGUGUGUAAAGACAGAAAAAUCAACGCAGCCGCCACGCAACUGACAGCAACAGAAACUCCACGCUCACGCGACGCAGCCAGUGUGUAGCCGGCCUAACACAUGCAGAGAAGCCUACAUCAAAUGAGAAGGGGAAAUUCAAUUAAAGCGCAACUUCAUCAGAAAAUAAACAUGCCCAUUUCUGUUCAUUUUGGCCGCCGUUUAUUGGCUCGUCAGCCGCCUUACAAGUCCAACCGCUUCUGUAUUCACAUUCAGCAAAGGUUGUUUGGAAAUCAUGGCGGGAAUGAGAGGGAAACGUCAGCAGAGGUCUAAAGCUGCAUGCGAAGUUGAGAUGGGAGCUCCCUGAUCCGAAGAGAGGAGUCAUCGCGUUUUAGUUCGCUAAGUCCUCAGCUCUCAUCGGUCCAUGUUCGAGAGGUUGCCACUCACCGGCGAAUCGGCUGUCGGGAGCCUGCUCAUUAUCCAACCCCAAAGAGGGCGUGUCACAGAGGGCGACGCCCUGAUUGUUAUUGGCCAACUCUGGACACCUGCUCCGCCCACCUGCAAGCGAGGGCAAAGGUCAAACAAGAGCAGCC